rnacentral:rRNA from 1 species
GAUGAACGCUGGCGGCGUGCUUAACACAUGCAAGUCGAACGGACUUUACAUGAAGCCUAGCGAUUGUAAAGUUAGUGGCGGACGGGUGAGUAACGCGUGGGUAACCUGCCUCGUACAGGGGGAUAACACUUAGAAAUAGGUGCUAAUACCGCAUAAGCGCACAGCUUCGCAUGAAGCAGUGUGAAAAACUCCGGUGGUACGAGAUGGACCCGCGUCUGAUUAGCUAGUUGGUGAGGUAACGGCCCACCAAGGCGACGAUCAGUAGCCGGCCUGAGAGGGUGAACGGCCACAUUGGGACUGAGACACGGCCCAAACUCCUACGGGAGGCAGCAGUGGGGAAUAUUGCACAAUGGGGGAAACCCUGAUGCAGCGACGCCGCGUGAGUGAAGAAGUAUUUCGGUAUGUAAAGCUCUAUCAGCAGGAAAGAAAAUGACGGUACCUGACUAAGAAGCCCCGGCUAACUACGUG